UGCCCCCUGGCUGAGUUGGUUACAGCGUCCGACUGUUACGCAUUGUACAUCGGAAGGUCGUGAGUUCGAGCCUCACGGGGGCAG